AAGCCUGAUGCAGCGACGCCGCGUGAGGGAUGACGGCCUUCGUGUUGUAAACCUCUUUCAGCAGGGAAGAAGCGCAAGCGACGGUACCUGCAGAAGAAGCGCCGGCUAANUACGUUCCAGCAGCCGCGGUAAUAUGUAGGGCGCAAGCGUUGUCCUGAAUUAUUGGCGUAAAGAGCUGGUAGGCGGCUUGUCACGUCGGUCUGAAAGCCCGGGGCUUAACCCCGGGUCUGCAGUCGAUACGGGCAUGCUAGAGUUGGUACGGGAGAUCGGAAUUCCUGGUGUAGCGGUGAAAUGCGCAGAUAUCAGGAGGAACACCGGUGGCGAAGGCGGAUCUCUGGUCCAUACUAACGCUGCGGAGCGAAAGCGUGGGGAGCGAACCGGAUUAGAUACCCUGGUAGUCACGCCGUAAACGGUGGGAUCUAGGUGUGGGCUACAUUCCACGUCGUCGGUGCCGCAGCUAACGCAUUAAGUGCCCCGC
rnacentral:rRNA from 1 species